GCGAGUGAAGCGGCAAGAGCUCAGAUUUGAAAUCGUGUUUCGGCACGAGUUGUAAAUUGCAGGUUGGAGUCUUUGUGGAAGUGCGUGUCCAAGUCCCUUGGAACAGGGCGCCACUGAGGGUGAGAGCCCCGUGGGAUGCGCAUUGAAGCUCUAAGGCCCUUCUGACGAGUCGAGUUGUUUGGGAAUGCAGCUCUAAGCGGGUGGUAAAUUCCAUCUAAGGCUAAAUAUUGGCGAGAGACCGAUAGCGAACAAGUACUGUGAAGGAAAGAUGAAAAGCACUUUGAAAAGAGAGUGAAACAGCACGUGAAAUUGUUGAAAGGGAAGGGUAUUGGGUCCGACAUGGGGACUGCGCAUCGUUGCUUCUUGUAGGCGGCGCUCUGUGCUCUCUCUGGGCCAGCAUCGGUUUUUGCCGCAGGAUAAGGGGCGUUGGAACGUGGCUCCUCGGAGUGUUAUAGCCAACGCCAGAUGCUGCGAGCGGGGACCGAGGGCUGCGACAUUUGUCUCGGAUGCUGGCAUAACGGCUCAAUACCGCCC
rnacentral:rRNA from 1 species